UUAGAAUUACACCUUUGCAAAGAGAUGUGGGGUUUUUGGUUUUUCAGUUGUUUUUUAGUACAUUUAUUUUCAUUUGGAUAUUGAGCCUAGUGGGAGGGGCUUAUGGUAUAAAAAGAGGGAUCCUCACUGUGAUGAGGGCAGUGCUGGGAAUGACACAAAGAAGGUCACAACCACUCUGGAUCUGUUCAAAGUGGAAUCUGUGAACUGUUUUAACUUCUUAUUUUCACAGGUGAGCAAAUAAAUGUCACAAGCAUUUUACUUCUUUUGCUUGCCUGAGUUUUUGUGUUACACUCUGAGUAGGAAAUGGAUGGAACCCCGCGGCAUGCAUGGUCCGGUACUUUUGUGAAUAACAAUUUUAACAGAUUUUCUAAGUUGACGGGGUAGUAACCCGCUCUCGUUUAUCUUCUCCUCUGGUGUCUCAAUCACUGUGCGCUAGCUCAUAGGGAAAAUGUGUAGUUGGUGCUUUUUGUCCCUUGCCGGUGGCUGUAGUUUCGAGGUGGCAGACCAUUAUGGUGCAUUCCUACUGACUUACCCAUCAUAUAUAAAAACAAAUGUAAAAUUCUUUGCUCACAAGAAUGUGUCAGACCAUUAGUGGAGGUCAUAAUACACCAAUGAUUUAGGUCAGUAAACAACGUUACACAAUGUCCCUUGAAAGAAACAACAACUUCUCCCAUACAAUGGAUUAAGAAGAAAUUUGCAUACAAAAAGCCAAAAUUGCUUCCAUUGGUUUUACUGGCAAAAAAAAAAAAAAAGAAAUGUCUCAAUUGGAAUGUCAAAUUUUUCCAUUUGUCUUUGCAGUUUUAGUCAUUUUUGUCACUUAAAAUUGAUUAAACAGAAUAAAAUAUAAAGGGAACACUGAGAAAACAAGUUGUUCUCAUAUGUGAACACCAGAACUUUUCUGGAUGAACUCAGCUUAACAGUUCAGUGUGAAGUUAAGCAAACAAACUAUAUAAAGUCAUAGUAAAUCAACUGAUAUAUUUUGUUUCAUGACUGAAGAAUUGCUUUGAGGUUGCAGCUGUUUUAUGGACAUAAGUUGGAUUGCCAAAGUUGUAGUUUCUUUAUGCAAGCUCUACUUGUUGUUGUGUUUAAACUGCAGAGCUUUCAGUGUUUCAUGCACACCACUGCCAUGAUCAUUUCUACUUCUUAGAAUAUGGAAAACAAUGCUUUAAAUUAACAAUAAACAGAAGCAUUAAAUUACUUAGUGGUACAGAUACCUUGGCUUUAACUAUUUUACCUGUUACCUACAGCCACUAAAUUUUAUUGAACUUUGAGCAUGGAUGACAGAAAAAGCAUCACUUCUGGAUCAUCUGUUUUAUUUCAGAGGAAAAUCUAUGACUGCCCUUUUAGUUGUUAUUAUAUUCAGUGUCACUUUCAUUUAAUUUGCUUCCACAUAGCUGUGUAUGUAUUUAAAUCAUCCUGAAGAACUAUUUGCAAAACU